rnacentral:rRNA from 1 species
GAUGAACGCUGGCGGCGUGCCUAAUACAUGCAAGUCGAGCGAACAGAUGAGGAGCUUGCUCCUCUGACGUUAGCGGCGGACGGGUGAGUAACACGUGGAUAACCUACCUAUAAGACUGGGAUAACUUCGGGAAACCGGAGCUAAUACCGGAUAAUAUAUUGAACCGCAUGGUUCAAUAGUGAAAGACGGUUUUGCUGUCACUUAUAGAUGGAUCCGCGCCGCAUUAGCUAGUUGGUAAGGUAACGGCUUACCAAGGCAACGAUGCGUAGCCGACCUGAGAGGGGGAUCGGCCACACAGGAACUGAGACACGGUACAGACUCCUACGGGAGGCAGCAGUAGGGAAGCUACCGAAAUGGGCGAAAGCCUGACGGAGCAACGCCGCGUGAGUGAUGAAGGUCUUCGGAUCGUAAAACUCUGUUAUUAGGGAAGAACAAAUGUGUAAGUAACUAUGCACGUCUUGACGGUACCUAAUCAGAAAGCCACGGCUAACUACGU